CGCCUGCCCUGUGACAAAAGUUUAACGGCCGCGGUAUUUUGACCGUGCGAAGGUAGCGUAAUCACUUGUCUUUUAAAUGGAGACCUGUAUGAAUGGCAUAACGAGGGCUAGACUGUCUCCUUUCCCCCGUCAAUGAAAUUGAUCUCCCCGUGCAGAAGCGGGCAUACCAACAUAAGACGAGAAGACCCUAUGGAGCUUUAGACCCCGCAGCAGCCCACGUCAAAACCCUUAAACCACUAAGCCUAAACAAAGUGCCCCCUGCUGCAGGUCUUUGGUUGGGGCGACCGCGGAGAAACAACUAACCCCCGCGUGGUACGGGCCACACCCUAAAGCCAGAGCCACAGCUCUAACAAGCAGAAUAUCUGACCUUCAAGAUCCGGCAUUGCCGAUUAACGGACCAAGUUACCCUAGGGAUAACAGCGCAAUCCUCUUUCAGAGCUCAUAUCGACAAGAGGGUUUACGACCUCCAUGUUGGAUCAGGACCACCUAAUGGUGCAACCGCAUUAAG
rnacentral:rRNA from 1 species